rnacentral:rRNA from 1 species
AACGAACGCUGGCGGCAUGCCUAACACAUGCAAGUCGAACGAGACCUUCGGGUCUAGUGGCGCACGGGUGCGUAACGCGUGGGAACCUGCCCUUAGGUUCGGAAUAACUCCCCGAAAGGGGUGCUAAUACCGGAUAAUGUCUUCGGACCAAAGAUUUAUCGCCUUUGGAUGGGCCCGCGUUGGAUUAGCUAGUUGGUAGGGUAAAAGCCUACCAAGGCGACGAUCCAUAGCUGGUCUGAGAGGAUGAUCAGCCACACUGGGACUGAGACACGGCGCAGACUCCUACGGGAGGCAGGAGUGGGGAAUAUUGGACAAUGGGCGAAAGCCUGAUCCAGCAAUGCCGCGUGAGUGAUGAAGGCCGUAGGGUUGUAAAGCUCUUUUACCCGGGAUGAUAAUGACAGUACCGGGAGAAUAAGCACCGGCUAACUCCGUG